GAUGAACGCUGGCGGCGUGCCUAAUACAUGCAAGUCGAGCGAACAGACGAGGAGCUUGCUCCUCUGACGUUAGCGGCGGACGGGUGAGUAACACGUGGAUAACCUACCUAUAAGACUGGGAUAACUUCGGGAAACCGGAGCUAAUACCGGAUAAUAUAUUGAACCGCAUGGUUCAAUAGUGAAAGACGGUUUUGCUGUCACUUAUAGAUGGAUCCGCGCCGCAUUAGCUAGUUGGUAAGGUAACGGCUUACCAAGGCAACGAUGCGUAGCCGACCUGAGAGGGUGACCGGCCACACGGGAACUGAGACACGGUCCAGACUCCUACGGGAGGCAGCAGUAGGGAAUCUUCCGCAAUGGGCGAAAGCCUGACGGAGCAACGCCGCGUGAGUGAUGAAGGUCUUCGGAUCGUAAAACUCUGUUAUUAGGGAAGAACAAAUGUGUAAGUAACUAUGCACGUCUUGACGGUACCUAAUCAGAAAGCCACGGCUAACUACGUG
rnacentral:rRNA from 1 species